UACGUAGGGUCCAAGCGUUAUCCGGAAUCACUGGGCGUAAAGCGUGCGUAGGUGGAUGUUUAAAUGUGAUGUUAAAUCGUGUGGCUCAACCAUAUCGAUGCAUCGCAUACUGGACGUCUAGAGGACAGCAGAGGCAAGUGGAAUUUGUAGUGUAGCAGUGAAAUGCGUAGAUAUUACAAGGAACACCAAUGGCGAAGGCAGCUUGCUGGGCUACUCCUGACACUGAGGUACGAAAGCGUGGGGAGCGAACAGG
rnacentral:rRNA from 1 species